AUUGAACGCUGGCGGCAGGCUUAACACAUGCAAGUCGAGCGGUAGCACAGGGGAGCUUGCUCCCUGGGUGACGAGCGGCGGACGGGUGAGUAAUGUCUGGGAAACUGCCUGAUGGAGGGGGAUAACUACUGGAAACGGUAGCUAAUACCGCAUAACGUCGCAAGACCAAAGAGGGGGACCUUCGGGCCUCUUGCCAUCAGAUGUGCCCAGAUGGGAUUAGCUAGUAGGUGGGGUAAUGGCUCACCUAGGCGACGAUCCCUAGCUGGUCUGAGAGGAUGACCAGCCACACUGGAACUGAGACACGGUCCAGACUCCUACGGGAGGCAGCAGUGGGGAAUAUUGCACAAUGGGCGCAAGCCUGAUGCAGCCAUGCCGCGUGUGUGAAGAAGGCCUUCAGGUUGUAAAGCACUUUCAGCGAGGAGGAAGGUGGUGAACUUAAUACGUUCAUCAAUUGACGUUACUCGCAGAAGAAGCACCGGCUAACUCCGUG
rnacentral:rRNA from 1 species